GACGAACGCUGGCGGCGUGCCUAAUACAUGCAAGUAGAACGCUGAAGGAGGAGCUUGCUUCCCUGGAUGAGUUGCGAACGGGUGAGUAACGCGUAGGUAACCUGCCUGGUAGCGGGGGAUAACUAUUGGAAACGCUAGCUAUUACCGCAUAAUAGCAGUUGUUGCAUGACAACUGUUUGAAAGGUGCAAUUGCACUACUACCAGAUGGUCCUGCGUUGUAUUAGCUAGUUGGUGGGGUAACGGCUCACCAAGGCGACGAUACAUAGCCGGCCUGAGAGGGUGGUCGGCCAAACUGGGACUGAGGCACGGCCCAGACUCCUACGGGAGGCAGCAGUAGGGGAACUUCGGCAAUGGACGGAAGUCUGACCGAGCAACGCCGGGUGAGUGAAGAAAGUUUUCGGAUCGGAAAGCUCUGUUGAAAGGGAAGAACGAGUGUGAGAGUGGAAAGUUCACACUGUGACGGUAUCUAACCAGAAAGGGACGGCUAACUACGUG
rnacentral:rRNA from 1 species